GGGUAGCAGACAUGUUGCUAUCGCCAAAAGUGCCUCCUGAGUCAUAACACCAUGUGAACCCUAGUUACGGUAGGCAUCUUCGUAAAUAACGCUGAUCAAUAGAUAUGCUUCAUCACCUCUAUGUGGGCUUCCUUGUGUUAUUGCUCUACAUUAGCUAAACAACACCUUUGGGAUAAAUUAGAGCCUGCCUGUGAGCUAGGCGAUCUUGUCCAACAUCAGUGCUUGACUUCACAAAUGUGCUUCUGGAAAAAUGGUCAAAAAUUUCCAUAAACACACUCCUAAACCUUGUGGAAUGCCUUCCCAGAAGACCUGAGGCUGUUAUAGCUGCAAAAGGUGGGCUGACAUAAACACUAUAGAUAAAUAAUGGGAUGUCACUCGAGUUCAUAUGCGUGUGUUGGCACAUGUGCAAAUACUUUUGGCAUAUUAUUGUCUCAUCUGACACUGGAUCAUUGUCUUUGACAACUGCUGAUGGCUUAACCUUCUUAACCUGUUAGUUGUGCUCUGGUCACCUGCCUUUUUAAAGAAAUGUAACCCCUGACAUUCUUUGGUUUGCUUUUUCUCCUCUUUCUUUAUUUUCUUUCCGAUUUAGCUCUUUUCAGGAAAGACAUGAUGUGGAGGGGUUUGUAUUAGUGGUCACAUGGAUAUACCAAAUUAGCUGUGCUGUAAAGCCGAGUCCAAAUGCGUCAUUUAUAAGACUUGAAAUCAGGGCUGCAACUAAAUAUUAUUUUGGCAAUCAACUAAACUGCCAAUUUUUCUUUGAUUAGUCAAUUAGUCAAGUAUUAUUUCAAUAAUUCUUAUCUCCGCUUCCUGUGGGCAAACCUCCUGUUCUAGGCUCCAGUCUGCCCACCUGUUAAUAAUCUCACUGUUGUCUCGUCUCACAGAAAAUUAAAAUUAUGAUCCAGGAAACAUAGCAAUUUGAAAAUAAUCAAAUGUAUUUUUAACAUUACUCAAUAAGACUGUCAGAAUAAAAUGAAAUAAAUAAAAAUGUUAGAUUGUACAAAUUAAAGUUCUAGUAUUAUUUAAACAAAAAAAAUAGUGCAAACGGGAAAUCAAAAAUGGCUUCUGUCCAUAAGUUCAAAUAAAAGCUUCAAAUUAAAUCAAAAAGAUUUUUUUUCUAAUCCAGUGUAACAAGUUUCUGAAUUAUUGAUAUUGUUCGACCCACAGAUCAACUACCUAACGUUAGGUAGAAGAGUUUACUAUUCAGAAGAAAUGCUAUAUAUAUUAAUGUUAGGGGAAAACAAACAAACUAGGAGACAGUAUAGCAACCCCUUUUUGAUGGUUUAAUAUCGCAUUUCACUCAUUAGCUAACAAAACUGUAAUGAUGUUCAGUUAUCAAGCAUCAUCCUGGGAUAUUUCUAACAGGAUAGCUAACAUAAACAUUACUGUACAAAGAGUAACAGCGUUUAUAUGUCUGUGUAGGUUCAUGGUAAUCUAAGGAGCUUGGAAAGAAAAGCGACCAGACUUCUUUAAGUGUCUUGAAGACGUUUUACUUCUUAUUCGAGAAGCUUCUUCAGCAUUUUAAACGCUCGUACACUGAAUUAUUGCUGUUUUGGAACAAAAGCACAGCUUUGCACAGACUGCAUUUAACUUUAUUUGUUUUUGUAUAUUUUUAAAUCUCCGUUUCCAUUUUGUUCUGUCCUCCUGCUUUGCCGUUCACACUACAUUCUUAGUUUUGGCAGACGAUAUAGGCGAUACUGCCUCCAAAACAAACUUUUGGUUCCAGUCGUGCAAGGGCCUCUCUCACCUUUAGGGCCCGGGUGGUCAGUCCCACUUUUAUCCUCACUAAGUAGGUGGCCCCCAUAUUCAUCAGUUUCUGCUUACAAUAGCCUGUUUGAAAUACUCAUUCAAACAAGUUUAUGUUUGGUUGAGUGGUUUGUUAGACCCUGUGAAAAAACAUGUUGUGGUUAGACCCUAUGGAAAAGUGUCUCAGAUAUACAAAUACAAAUUCAAAUUUUAUUUGUCACAUACACAAUUUUACAUAAUACGACAUGCAGUGAAAUGCUUGUUGCUGUGCAAUGCCGAACCAUAAAAAAAGCUAAACGGAGACAUAAAAGUAAACAUAAAACUAAACUAGCAAGUAAUUUAGAUAAUAUACAAAUGUAAAAUUUAAAACUUAACUGU
ensembl:lncRNA